rnacentral:rRNA from 1 species
GAACCACAGGAGGGAUCAUUACCGAGUUUUCAACUCCCAAACCCUUAUGUGAACCUACCUAUCGUUGCUUCGGCGGACUCGCCCCAGCCGGACGCGGACUGGACCAGCGGCCGCCGGGGACCAUCAAACUCUUGUAUUAUCAGCAUCUUCUGAAUACGCCGCAAGGCAAAACAAAUAAAUUAAAACUUUCAACAACGGAUCUCUUGGCUCUGGCAUCGAUGAAGAACGCAGCGAAAUGCGAUAAGUAAUGUGAAUUGCAGAAUCCAGUGAAUCAUCGAAUCUUUGAACGCACAUUGCGCCCGCCAGCAUUCUGGCGGGCAUGCCUGUUCGAGCGUCAUUUCAACCCUCGACCUCCCUUUGGGGAAGUCGGCGUUGGGGACCGGCAGCACACCGCCGGCCCUGAAAUGGAGUGGCGGCCCGUCCGCGGCGACCUCUGCGUAGUAAACCAACUCGCACCGGAACCCCGACGUGGCCACGCCGUAAAACACCCAACUUCUGAACGUUGACCUCGAAUCAGGUAGGACUACCCGCUGAACUUAAGCAUAUCAA